CUCUCAUGCACACAGUUUGUAGUAAUCAUCGCUGAAGACGUGUGUUGCAUGGACAUACUACAGUACAACCUUAUCACAACCUCUGAAAUGUUUCCUGUCUGGACAUCUUAUCUACAUUGCUCAGGGAGAUCUCAACAUUCAGUCAACAUCACAUUGGUGAAGGAACUAUUCUGCCUUUCUGCAUUUGGAAUUACCCUCCACAGCAACAUUCGUAUGAAGUGUGCAGUGGGGAUUGUGCAUCGCAAUGCAAUGGCAGAACUGGAGCCUCAUCCCAGCCACUGUGCACCUGAUUCCUCUUACUUUCCCCAAAGACCCCAGCACCGUCCCCCAUUUGUCAUUGGUAAGCAUGCCGACAAUCCAUGCUUCACGUGACGGGGGAAGGGGACCUGAAGCGAGCAAAACAAAAGGACAACAAAAUCAGCAU
ensembl:lncRNA